CUUUACUUGGAUAGAACUUUCGCAAGGCCUAUGAAACAAACAUUCAGGCAGGAACAAACUUGCCUGAGACAUUUCAUUUAAGGUCUAGGUUUAGGGAAAAUGUUAGCUAGGAUUUCCGUGUAUCCUCCUUCAAUCCAGUUGAAAUUAGAAAGCAAAUGACGAUGAAAUCCUUUAUCACCAUCAGGUUAGAUGUGGUUUCCUAGUUGCCUGUGUCAUGCUAAGCUUAAAGAGGAAGAGUGACAAAGAAGUAAUUCCCUGCAGACCAAAGGACUGGCUUCAGAUGGGACUGAGGCAUGCCUGGCAAACGCUGGAGGGUGGGAUGUCCAGAAGCUGCUUUACAUGGGGAUCCUCAGUGAGGAAGAAUCUGGGUUCAAGAAGCCUGACUGUUGAACAUCAUACAGGUCACCACAGAGUACAAAGUACCAUUUGCAGAGACGUGGAUAGACCUAGAGUCUGUCAUACAGAGUGAAG
ensembl:lncRNA